GGUCCUUCAGCCUAAUUAAAGGUUUAGUUUAGGUGGACAAAGGAACGUUUUAGGAGAUUGUUCCUUACAGUGUUGUUCGAUUUUAGAGGCUAACCGUGUGAUUAUUUGUUUUUGGCAGGUUUUUUGCUAUUGUUUUUAGUUUGGGUAUGUUUUCUGCGUUAUAUAAGCCUGUAUACUUUAAUUGCCUUAUUGUUUGGUGCAGACAUCCACCCUGAUAAAACAAGGCGGAAGUUUCCCAGACUGGUUCCCAAGUAGCACACGGAAGCAUUCGUUGAUGUACGUCUUCAGAUCAGGGUAAGGAGUGAAGGCCUUCACCAAUGCACCAAGAAUAGCCAGAGAAAAGUCACUCACGGCUUCCUUUGGUACAGCAGCACCCGUACGAAGCCAUUCUGUCAGCCAUGUUGCAAUAGCAUUAAUGUCGUGUCUCUCUGACAGCAUUUGCACAACUGGGACUGAGGAAUUGUCCCCUGUCAGAACGCCCUGAUAAAGGAAGAUGUGGCCAGAUGUACCAUUUGGUCUCACAAGUCUUUUCACAACCGAGCCUGUUGCAUCAAAGCAAACUACAGAGGGGCAUUUUUUGGACAAUGCUCUAUACACAUGGAGCUGAGUUGGACUCCAAUAGUGGCAGAAGAACUUGUCUAGACCAAUGUCUCUUAUACAACCACUGUGAGGGUCGCCAAAUUUGGUAGGUGACUUGGCUCAGGAUCUCCAAUAUCCAUCAAAUCUGAUGCCUUCGCUGACCUCCAUACAGCCGGCUCCAUCCUGCCCUCACACAGCUCUUUUGAAAUCUGUGCACGAAGGUCUCCAGACAUGAACCUCUUGGAACGGCCAGUGUGCAGGGAGAUAUCAGUGUCUUCGAUGGAACACUCGAGAACCAUUGGGCUGUUGACUGUUGGUUCUCUGGCACAUGUCAUUUUAACAUGGCCUUGACACUCUUUACAGAAGCCCUUAAUGUCUAUGUAGUUGCUGGUUCUAGAUGAAUAAACUUUUGCUCUCUGGAACACAAAUGUGCAUGUACUUUUAACUUUUUUCCAGAUCAGGUGGUUGAUUACAUGACUCCAAGUGCCUGGCUUCAAAAUCAGAUAUUCCCUUUUGCCGGAUGAUGAAAACUUGUCAUUGUAUUGUACUUUUUCAGGUACAAAUUUCAUCCAUUCCUCAAAAGGGACUUCAAGCUGAAAAACUGAGCAGCUGUCCAGUCCAGGAGAAAUGGAGCCAGAAUCAAACUCUGUGUCCACACUGCUCUCAGGAUCAGUUUCCUGCUCAUUGAUCUCCAAACAUGACCAGAUGUUGUGUCUGUUUAACUUUACAAAAGUGUACAGGGCUUUUGGAGACAUCUUAUUUUCCAGCUGCUGACUUAGUUCUCUCCAAAUAGUGGCAGCUGGAGUGGCUAUUUUGCCUCUUUUGAAGUGCAGAGAACUGCAAAAAGGGAAUCCCUGUCUACGGUUGGCUGUCGAGGCAUCUAGUUAAAGAAUAAAAAGACUGAUUAGCAUUAAAUCAAACAUGCUGGCCUAUAAUAUCUGUCAUGCCAUGAAAAAUUAAUAUUAUAGAAUUGUUACAACUCGAAACCUUAGUCGUCUUACGUAAUUCUAGAUGGCAUUUAUGCAUUUUUACUACUUGUUAAUGUUCAAUUAAAGUAUCAGUUCAACUUUAAAAAUGUGUCUUAGCUCUGGAGUCUACAGAUGUGCCUAAUCACCUAAUCAUUGUGAAGCCUUGCAGAAUGUUUCAAGAAAUUCAAGUCUGGACUUAAAAUGUAAUUGAAUUGUGGAUUUCCAGAAAUAUGCAUUGCAUUGUAUGAAAUUAACUUCCUGAUCCCCUGGCCAAGUUAGCUAAAUAUGACAUAGUUGUCAUGUGCAAGUGUGACUAAAAAUAACUUAUUUGGUGCUAGGAUUUACUCCCAUGUGGCAGCUAGCCCUGUAUGUAUGGCAUUUAACCAAGAAUAUCCCACUAUUUAUUCUCUUACCUUGUUCCAAAAAUCUCAUUUGACAGAUGUCCAAAAAAUUCCAAGAAUGUCAAUUUUAAGCCAAAAAAUAAAUAAAUAAGACUAUUCAAAGUUUUAAAGGCUAAUGCUCUUGCCGCCUAGACAAGAUCACUGGCUCACUGGGUGGCGUCACUCCCUAUGGCAUUGCGUGAGGACUUCAUAUAUAAACUUGCAGAAUCUUAAAAAAAAAAAAAAAA